GUCCCGUUUCUGGCAACAGAGGUUUAGGUAGAGAAGUUUGUAUUUGACCAAACAGUAAAAUACUUCUCUAAUCUUCAGAGAAGCUUCAUCAAAUAUCCAACGAGUCCUAAAGUCAUGGUUUUUAAGUGGUUGUUGAUUGUUCUUUCUAACAAGGUUUUCAGUCACAAACUAAUUAGCCAUGCAAAUUAAUCCAUUGGAUGCUUAUUUUCUUCUCUUCUAUCUUCAAUUGUGCUCCUCUGCACAUGACAGUGGAAAUGGUUCCUUUAAUGAUAAGCAUGCUCUCCUUGCCUUCAAGAAUUCCCUCACUUCUGACCCAAACAAAGUGUUAUCGUCUUGGGAUGCCAACACUAGCGUCUGCAAUUGGGCAGGCAUUUCAUGCAAUAAAUGAAUGAGAGUGUCCACAAUAAAUCUUGAGAAUUCGGGUUUGGUGGGUCAUAUUUCCCCUGUUUUGGGGAAUCUUUCCUCGUUAGAGGUGUUAGUUAUGUCCAAUAACUCUUUCCAUGGUGUUAUUCCAGAUCUCGGCCAGAAGCUCAGCAAUCUGAAAGAACUGCAUCUGUGGGGGAAUCAGCUUAGUGGGCCAAUACCAACAUCUCUAGGAAAUUGUUCCAAACUGAAACUUCUUGACCUCAGUCUCAACAAUCUCAAUGGCAGAGUGCCUCACCAAUUGGGUAAGUUGAGCUCUCUCCAACGUCUUUUACUGUAUGAUAACUUCCUCACCAGCUCAAGGACUUUGCCCUUUCUUACAGCUCUUAUUAAUUGCUCUUCUCUGAAAACUUUAUACUUGGGUUUAACCAUCUCGUAGAGGAUUUGUCCCCUUCCAUUGGCAAUCUGUCUACCCAACUCUGUGUAUUGUCCUUACAACAAAACCUUAUAGAGGAAGAAUACCUCAAGAAAUUGGCAAUCUAACCAAAUUGAUAAUGAUAAACUUCACUGGAAAUGCAUUAACUGGCUCCAUUCCGUCUGAAUUUAAAAUGCUAGAGGACUUGGAAAGAUUGUAUCUAGGCCAAAACAAAUUACAGGGGCCCAUUCCCUGGGAGAUUGGUCACUUUAGUAGGAGUCUAGGGCUACUUUCUCUCUCGUUCAACCAACUUAGUGGACAAAUUCCUCCCACUAUUGGCAACCUUAAUCAGCUGAGGCACCUUCAUCUUGAUAACAACAAAUUUAAUGGAACGAUACCCCUCAGUCUUGGCAACUGUCAGUUACUAGAACUAGUUGACCUAUCCCAUAAUAAUCUCACUGGAAACAUACCACCAGAAGUUGCAGGUCUUAAAAAUUUACAAUUUUACUUCAAUCUGUCUUGGAAUUCACUGCGUGGAAGCCUGCCAGCUGAAAUUGCUAAAAUGGUAAUGGUUCAAGGAAUGGAUCUAUCCGAAAAUCAGUUAUCUGGUGAAAUUCCAGCUGCUAUUGGAAGUUGUACUAAUCUAGAAUAUCUCAACCUCUCACAUAAUAUGUUUGAAGGCCCAAUUCCGCAUUCAAUUUCCAGACUGCAAUAUCUCGAAAUAGUGGAUCUCUCCUACAACAACAAAUUAUCUGGAGAAAUUCCUAAAAAGGAACCGUUUACAAACCUCACGGCGCCACCAUUCAAAGGAGUCCCUGGCUGUGGGCAAGGGAAUUUUUCAUUUCCAGGAUGUCCAAGUGCAGGGCCACCUGGAGGAUCAUCUGGAGGGUCAACUGGUGGCCUCAGGCACUUGCAUAAAUUUUUUAAAUACAUGAUUUAUGCUAUCCCCUCUCUAGUCGUGUUCAGCUUAUAUGUUUUGCUAUUGUACAAAUAUUUCUCUCUGAAGGGGUAUGUCGAACCGUCAAUAGAGUUUCCACAUCCUCGAAUCUCAUAUAAGGAACUUAAACUAAUGGAUUUGGCAAGAGCAACUUGUUAGGAGUUGGUAGCGUUGGCUCUGUAUAUAAAGGAGUUUUGGAUAAUGGAACAUUGAUAGCUGUUAAGGCUCUCAAUUUGGAGAAUGAAGCAGCUCAUAAAAGUUUCAGCAUUGAGUGUCAAAUGCUCAGUAAGGCCAAACACCGCAAUAUAAUAAAAGUCCUAACCUCAUGCUCUAAUCUCGACUUCAAAGGUUUGGUUUUUGAGUUCAUGCCUAAUGGAAACCUGGAAAAGCAUUUGCAUUGUGAUACUCGCAAGUGUAAUAUCGGGGGUGUAGGUAAAAUGAAAUUACAGACACGAUUACAGAUAGCCAAGGACAUUGCCUGUGGUUUGGCAUAUCUCCAUCAUGAUUGUUCAGUUCAAAUUGCUCACUGUGAUUUGAAGCCCAACAAUGUACUUCUGGACUUCUAUAUGACAGCACAUAUAGCUGAUUUUGGAAACGCCCAUAUACUAACUGAAAGUUCUAUGCAUUCAUUUCCAGCAUCAACAACACUGAAAGGUGCUUUAGGCUACAUUGCCCCUGAGUAUGGAGUUGGUGCAAGGAUCUCAGCUAAGGGAGAUGUAUACAGCUAUGGAAUUUUGUUAUUGGAGAUGUUAACAGGAAAAAGGCCGACCCACCAGAUGUUUGUUGAUGGACUCAGCUUGCGCACGUGGGUUAUUAUGGCUUUCCAUGAUAGGAUUUCAGAGGUGGUUGAUGAUAGCUUGAUGUUGUCCAAUGAACCCUUUACAUAUGCUACAUGCAGUUGUCUGAUUCAAUUGAUUCGAGUAGCUUUGUUGUGCUCAAAAGAUUCACCUAAAGAUCGACCAAGUAUGGCAGAAGUUGUGGAGUUGUUGGAAUCUAUUGAGGACAUGUUUGAAGGGAGAACAAUGGAAUCUAUAUAUCAACAUGAUCUCUACCAAAUGGUAAACAGCAAAAGAUGGGCAAGAGAUCUUGCAGUCCAGGAUCAGAGUACUUCCACAUUACAGUCAACUUCCUAAAUUGUGAUGUAAACUGUUCGCCAGCGAAAUCGACUUUCAAAUAAUAGUAAUAGUUGAAACUGCCUGCUAUUCUGGGAAAGGGGAUACAAAUAUCAAUUAAAAGUUACCGUUUUUUCAUGUUAGAGAUAUUGAUCAGGAAUUUGCUACUGCGUGGACGUCUUUUUCCUAUAUUUAGGACUGCUUUGCAUGAGAUGGGAAAAAGGGAGAAAGUUUUGAGUGUUAUUAUUUAUUCCUGCUUUCAGAUCUAAACAGAUUGUUAACUGUGCUGUAUGUAGAUGAUUUGCUACAGUAAAUCUUCAUAUAAGCUGCGUUCUUUCGCUUCAUUGUUUU